GCCAGAUAAGGGAAGCAGGCCUCCGAAGCCAGCAGUGGCAACCCACUUGGGUCCCUUUCAAUGCUGUGGAAGCGUUGUUCUUUCACUCUUCUCAAUAAAUCUUGCUGCUGCUCACUCUUUGGGUCUGCCCCGCUGUUAUGAGCUGUAACACUCACAGCCAGUGUCUGCAGUUUCACUCCUGAAGCCAGCAAGACCACAAACCCACAGGGCGGGACAAACAACUCCGGACAGGAGGAAUGAACAACUCUGGACGCGCCACUUCUAUGAACUUUUAUGAACUGUAACACUCACCGCAAAGGUCUGCAGCUUCACCCCUGAGGCCAGGGAGACCACGAACCCACCGGAAGGAAUGAACAACUCCAGACGCACUGCCUUUAAGAGCUGUAACACUUACCACGGAUGUCUGCAGCUUCACUCCUGAAGUCAGCGAGACCACAAACCCAACAGAAGGAAGAAACUCCCGACACAUCUGAACAUCUGAAGGAACAAACUCUGGACACACCAUCUUUAAGAACUGUAACACUCACCGUGAGGGUCAACCGCUUCAUUCUUGAAGUCAGCCAGACCAAGAACCCACCAAUUCCGAGUCUCACUUUGUUGCCUAAGCUAGAGUGCAGCGUCGUGAUCAAGGCUCACUGCAGCCUCAACAUCCUGAUCCCCAGUGUUCCUCCCACCUCAACCUCCCAAGUAGCUGGGACCACAGGCUCAUAGGCAGAAGGGACUUUCCUUGUCUCAGAUGAGAAUUUGGACUGUGGACUUCUGCUGAAAGUCAUUUAAUGCUGAAAUGAAUGCCAGAUGCCUCUAGUGAGCCACCUUGAAUCACUAUUCUGAAUACAUCUUGAGUAAAAAGAGAAAAUUGCUCAUGUUUCCAUGUCUAUCUGAAUCAUGUUAUUGGACCAUGAGAGCAAGCAGCUGGAUCUCAUUCUGUCCAGGUACAAAUAUACUAAAUUAACAUAAGUAGCAUAUCAUAUGUGUCAUAUGUGUGCUGAAUAUGUUAUAUUUAAUAACUAAAAAACCUUAAAACCUUACUUUUUUGGUACUUUUAAAUACCAAGAAUUAAUUAAUUAAUUAAUUAAUUUAGCUUGUGUCCAUUUCCUCUUACAAGUAUAUAGGAAACUUUUUACUCUCUGAAUCUUUAUAAAAUUGCAAGUCUUGGUGAACAGUAAUUGUCUUCUUGGAUAAUAUUUAUGCAAAGAGUGUUUGGAGACAUCUAUAUUCUGGAUAAAACUAAUUAUUUAAUACAGUACUUUUUUUAAAGGACAUGCUAUUUUAACUUCACUUCAGCAAAGUUUAUCUGUAGGCACUUAUAUAUGCACUUAAAACAAAAUUUAAAUAAAUGAGCAUGAUUUUUUUCCUUACUUUAAGUGGACUGGCAUCUUUCCCAUAUGUUUUGCAUGUAACAACAUUCCCAAAAAGUUAAGUGCAUCUAGGAUACACCUUAUUUAAUAACCUUAGCACCAGCUGCUCAUAUUCACUGCCAGAAAUCAUGCUUUUUUGUACACAGCCUAAAGGCAAAAAAAAAUAAAAAGUGAUUUAGAAGCUGCUACUAGGCUGAAAGGUAAAUCAGUGUUCCACAUAAUUCAAAACUUACUUUUUAUAAAAAAGCAAAUAAAAGCACAAAAGUAAUUUUAGCUGAAUAUUUAAAAAGUAAUUCUAUAUGGUAUGACACUUACUACAACAGAAACUUUUGCUUACUUUCAUAGGACUCCUGGAAACAGCAGCUCUAACAAAAUUGUCUUCAAUAAAUAAGUUUUUUUGCAUCACAUUUGUGUAUGUCCUGAAUGUUCUGAGCCCUUCAGAUUUGACUCAUAUUCAUGCUAAAAGAAAAAAUGCAAAUGAAAAUUGUAUAGCUAAUUAUGAGAAAAAUAAAGCAUCAUAAGAAAACCA
rnacentral:lncRNA from 1 species